GCAAGUUUUCAAUAAAAAUGGAGUUUAAACACAUUGAGAAAUCAGUUGUACAUAUUACGUGAAAUAUAAUAAAAUAUAACAUAAUAAAAUAUAACAUAACCUAAUCUUUUUGAGUGAAGACAUAUCUGAACUUUCAUAUUUAUAAAAGGUAAUAUUGUUGUAAGCGCAGAAAAUAGAGAAACUGGUUUGCUUAGUAGUAAAAUGUUAUCGAAAAGUUUUUCAUCAAAAGUUUGUAACUAAAUAAGUUGUAGAAAGGAAAGAUAUAAAUUUUGACAGAAUAGUCAUAAUGUUUGAUUAUGAUAAAUGCAAUGUGGAAUGUCAAUAAAUCUGUACAUUUGCAUAGCAAGAUUCUAGACUAUGAUAUGAUGUCAUUAUUUUUUAAGAUGACAAUACAAACUUGGACAAAAAUAUUUUGGGGUUAUGAUUGAAAAAGUUUCCCAGUCACUGUUCUAGACGAUAAGAUAAUCAUAUCUAAAUCAUUUCUAAAGGAAAGAGUUAAGUCAAUCCUAUUUUACAAUCUCAUUUCAAUGCUUUCAUAAAUAUUUCAUAUUGAAUAAUAGAUAUAAUAAACAAGGAAUACAAGUUUUAAAUGACAAUGCAAACUUGGUCAAAAAUA